CCUACGGGGUGCAGCAGUGAGGAAUAUUGGUCAAUGGGCGCAAGCCUGAACCAGCCAAGUCGCGUGAGGGAUGACGGUCCUAUGGAUUGUAAACCUCUUUUGUCGGGGAGCAAGGCCCGCCACGUGUGGCGUGAAGGAGAGUACCCGAAGAAAAAGCAUCGGCUAACUCCGUGCCAGCAGCCGCGGUAAUACGGAGGAUGCGAGUGUUAUCCGGAUUUAGUGGGUUUAAAGGGUGCGUAGGCGGAAGGUUAGUUCAGCGGUCAAAUGUCGGUGCUCAACACCGGCCUGCCGUUGAAACUGGUCUUCUUGAGUGAGCGAGAGGUAUGCGGAAUGCGUGGUGUAGCGGUGAAAUGCAUAGAUAUCACGCAGAACUCCGAUUGCGAAGGCAGCAUACCGGCGCUCAACUGACGCUGAGGCACGAAAGCGUGGGGAGCGAACAGGAUUAGAUACCCUAGUAGUC
rnacentral:rRNA from 1 species